rnacentral:rRNA from 1 species
CAGUCAUGCCGGUGGGGAAAUCAGCUCCCGGGGUAACCAGGGAAGUGCACUUUCUCGCAAGGCAGGUUAGCGUCAGUUUUCGCCAGUCGUAAAAAGUCCGUCGGAAGGUAGCUCUAUUCGGAGUGUUAUAGCCAGCGGUCAAUGCGACGUGCGGGAUUGAGGAUCGCAGCGGGUGCUCUUCGGGGCUAAGUGCCUGGCCCCUUG